GGCCCUUUGGCCAAGUGGUAAGGUGUUCUCCUCCGGCGCACUAGCGUUCGCAGAGAAAGAUCGCAGGUUCAAUCCCUGCAUGGGUCG
rfam:Puccinia sorghi strain RO10H11247 Scaffold_3258, whole genome shotgun sequence.